UCCUGGUAUGGUUUCUCUGCAUGUACUGACUUCUACUACAGUGGAGACCCUUGUGCUGAUCUGAGAGAAAGGAGGAGAUGACCGACCUCCAGCUUUCCUUUCUGCUUUGCCAAUGAGGAGAUGUCACAAACCACCCUUCUCGCUCCUCAGAGACCCAAGCAAGUACAACUCAUAGCCAUGAAGGGCAGCUGGGGACAGGCAAAGCAAGGCAAGGCCCGGUGCUAUGAGCAGAAGGACAACCCUACUGCCUACCACUGUAGACGCUGGACUUACAACAUUACAGUGCUAUUGCUCAUAAUUAUUUCCUAGGUAAGUAAGUGACUAAAUUUCACUAAAUCUCUACAACUUCUAUAUCUCCAUAAGAAAAAAAGAAAAUCCAGAGGGAGAAAAGGCUAAGCAGAAUUUAUUGCUGUUCUUUAUUAUGAUCAAAUCUUUUUCCUUUUUUUUUUUUUUUAAGAUUUAUGAACCUCUAUUUAAUUGAUUCAUCAGAAAACUGAGAAAGCUAGUUGUGGGUUCAUACACAUUUCCAUAGGCAUGCGCGCAUUCCCAUGCCAGAUGUCAGAAAUAUGUGAUCCGUGAAAAUGGAGCCUGGCUUGUGGCAGCCUGCUGCCCGAUCUGAUUAAUAUUGUGACUCCAGUUCACCCUGAGUGGGAACAGAGCUUGGGUUUUGCAGAAUUCUAAGGCCAGGAGGCAGGCACAAUUAGAAACAGGGAGCUGAACUCUGGUGUCUCAAAGGCUCAGUUUUGCUGUGCUAACACUCUGUUACUGGGACCAGAUAUGAAAAAAUGAUGCAAUAGGCAGAGGCCUUUAUACAGAGGGCCUUGGAGACCCUCUGCAGUGCUCUACCCAGCCCUCGUAACCAUUUGCAAGGCUAGAAAGGACUUCUUAGCUUAAAUUCAAGGGCAUGCUGGAUCCCUCUUUGGGUUGCUUUGACCCUUCUAAUGCUGUUAUUCCCCAUAGGUCACACAGUGCCAGACUGCUCAUGCAGAACACCAAUUCGCUUGCUGGGUUUUCCUGGACAACAUCAAGAUUUAUUUGGUGUUUUGUGGAAGAGACGCUCACUAGUCCUCAGGAUCAUGCACUACUUCGCAAGCUGGCUAUCCAGAAUUGA
rnacentral:lncRNA from 1 species